rnacentral:lncRNA from 1 species
CUCGCUGACUUGUCUCAGCUCAUAGGGCCUUCAGGAUCAUGGCCUAUAAAAUGCUUCAAGCAGCCCUGUGUUCAACAUUGCUUAUAGGAGCUUUGGGAGCACCAUUUUUAUUGGAGGACCCAGCAAACCAAUUCCUACGUCUCAAAAGACACAUAUAUUUGCAGGAUUACUGGGAUUCAGAUUACAGUCCGAAUACAUGGGGAAGCACACUGGCUAAUCAGGCUUAUGAAACAUGGACUGCUUUGAAAACAACAGCACAGUAUUACCUGAAUGUGAAUAAUUUGCCCCAUGACACAUCUACUGCCCAGUAAAUGUGCUUUGCUGGUAGCCAGGAUAGCAAAAGUAGUGGAAGCCAAAAGGGGCAAUGCCUCCAAACCACUAGAUUUGGAGACCUCAGGGCAAAUCCAUCCCAUCUACUAAAUUAUUUAUUAUGUCUGCCUCAUGAAGCUAUUGAAAGGAGUAAAUAUGAAAAUCCCUGUAGAGACCUAGAAUUAGAAGCUCUCAAUAAAUUGUUGCUUUUAAAAAUGAGAACUAAAAUAAAGACUGUAGUAAUAAAAUUUACCAAAUGGUAAAAGGAAAUAAAAAAACAAAACAGUAGUGUCAUUAAAAUUCCCUGUCUGAAAGGAAAACAAAACAAAACAAAAAAAACCGUUCAUAGCUCUUGCUUUCUAUUGCCUCUUCUUUGAGAGAAUUAGUUCACUUUUUGUUCAAGGAAGAAAAUGGGAUCUCUCAUAUGGAACUGGUCCUCUCCUCUUUUCUUCAAUACUUGUCACUUCCUAAAGUCAGUCUAUUCCAAGAUCAUACUUGUGAAUUUUUUUUCAUCAAAGCUGUACUGUUUUGGGCAAUAGAGAAUAAAAUCUUAGCUCAUACUAGGGAACAGAUGAUGACUCGGAACCCACUGGAAGCCACCCACCUGUAAGUCUUCCUGAGAAAUUUUGUCAAAAUUACGCAAGUUUUAUGUUCCAGCCCAUAAUAUAUUUUUUUGUUUUGAUAUGAAAUAAUAAUUUUUAAAAAAUCUCAAAUCCAUUAUUACUCACUUUCCAUCCCCCUAAGCCCCAGCCCUAGUAACCACUAAUAAACUUUCUGUAGCUAUACAAAAAAAAGAAAUAACCUUUUGAAUUUACUGGCCCUAUGUUUUUAUUAAUAUUUCCAAUAACAUGGAAAAAUUGAUGUUACAUAAAAUUGCACUAUGUUUGUCCAUGGAAUACCACUUCAGUACUCAAGAUUGAAAAGUACUGAGAUGAUAUAACCAAUCACCAAGACUCCCUUGAAAUCACAGAUAAGUGGACUUUUGCCUUCAAAAGUCAAUUUCUCCGUAUACCUAGGUCAACUGUUCUCUGCAGAGAUUUCUUUUGGUAAAUAGAAGCAUCUCCUCAAGACUAUAGUUGGUCUUAUGUGAUCUUUUAUUUAUUUUUUUUCUUUUUGGCCACACCUAUAGCAUAUGGAAGUUCUUGGGCCAGGGGUCAAAUCUGGGUUGCAGCUGCAACCUGUGCCACAGCUGCAGCAAUGCUGGAUCCUUAAUCCACUGCGCCAGGUGAUCAAACCCAAGCCAUUGCCAAGACAAUGCUGGAUCCUUAACCUGCUGUGCCAUAGCAGGAACUCCUUAUGUGGUCUUAAAACAGCUUCAGGCACUUUUUCAGCAGGAAAAAAUCAGAUGCCACGAAGCUGCACUAUAAAGAUUUUGGUCCAGCACUUUCUUCUCCAAAAGAACACCAGUAGCUACUCAGUAUUCUCCAUUUUUUCAUUCCAUCCCUUAGAGGUGUUUUCAGUGAGAAUUGAGACUAAUGCAUAAUUUAUUAUGUUAACUGCUAUCCAUUUCUAAUACACAUAAACAGAUUUUUAAAUCAAAUCACAACUGAAUGGACAAAAGAAAGAAAUCGAGGAGUUCCCGUCAUGGCGCAGUGGAAAUUAAUCUGACUAGAAACCAUGAGGCUUCGGGUUCAAACGCGGCUUGGAUCUGGCGUUGCUGUGGCUCUGGCGUAGGCCGGCAGCUGUAGCUCCAAUUAGACCCCUAGCUUAGGGCUGCACCCACAGCAUAUGCCGUGGGUGCAGCCCUAAAAAGACGAAAGAAAGAAAGAAAGAAAGAAAGAAAGAAAGAAAGAAAGAAAGAAAG